rnacentral:rRNA from 1 species
AUGCACAAGUGGAAGAGCUUCUCCGCCAGGGCAUUAUCCAUAAAAGCAGCAACCCCUUCAGUUCUCCAGCUAUCCUCGUCAAGAAGAAGGACGGGACAUGGAGGCUCUGUAUCGACUACAGACACCUCAACGCCAUCACUUACAUCGCCAAGUACCCCGUGCCUAUCAUCGAAGAGUUGCUGGAUGAGCUGCAUGGUGCAACCUGGUUCUUCAAGCUGGAUCUGCGCUCGGGCUAUCACCAGAUUCGCUUGGCAGAAGGCGAGGAGUACAAGACCGUGUUCUAGACACAUUUAG